UGCUCACCGUGUCGCUGCACUAGAGGGUUGCAGUUGGGCGCCUGCGCGAUGGCCGCGGCGAGAGCUGUGUACUGGACGUCUCGAUCCCGCUGCCUUGAUCGCCUCCUCGCAAUUUGCUCACUCCACUGACCGUGUACUCCCGUCCAAGGCCAUGUUUAAAUUCACACAACGGUCACACAGCGAUAACUUGAUUUCUGAACGGGAUGAAGGAUUACAUCUUGUGCUAGAUGAAACCAUGUCCUUUUAACCUUGCUGUGCCACGAGCUCAAGAGGAGAUGUGCUUGUGUAUUAUGUUUGGUUAAUUUCAGAUCAUAUGAAACUAUAGGAGAUGCACAAUUUCAUUUAUGAAAUCAGUUGUAUUCUGCAUUAUCAGGACGGAACAUUCAGUACUAUCACUGGAAACUAUACAGCAUUCAGGAAUCUGAAAGAUUUGCUUUUGCACUUCUAUUUUUCAAUCAUGGAAUAUUUUCGUCUUGAAGCACCUACUGAUUUUUUUU